UGAUAAUUAUAUUCUAUCUAAAUAUUAAAAUUAUCACAACUGUGGUAAAUUUUACGACUGGAUCUCUAAGAGCUGAAUCUCAAUUUUAUAUUUAAAGAAAUCUCCCCAAUAAUGGUCAGUAUAAGUAGACUUGAAUAAAUUAUUCCAGGGUGGUCUGCUGCACUACUCUAGUGACGUCCAUGAUUGAAAACAUGAAUUCUGGAAUUCGAUAAUGCCGAAUGGUGCACACCCAAAUUCAAAGAUCGACAAAUUCACAGCACUGUAAGUCCGGUAAUAAAUUCAGCCAAAUUACAACGGGAUGGUCGAGUGAUGAAAGAUAACCCUAAACAGGAUAAAACACUUCCGAUUCUUGAAAAUCAGGCCCGAACUCGAACCCGGAUCCCUCAGAUGGACAAGUACGCACAUGGCUGCCUCCAUUAGCCAGUCGUCAUCUCUCCCAAAAGGAACUAAGACCUUUUAAUCAAGCUCAUCAUGAAUUUGACCAGGACCACAAUGGGAUAGCCAAGUGGUGAAUGGAACCUGAUAUAUCACCCUAAAAAAUUCAAGGUUUUUUGACUCAUCCAGAUUUGUUCCUGGGUCCUCCAGAGCAGGAAACUGACAAAGUGAUAGUCAUGUGACCAUGUGGUUAUCAGUAUUAUAUGUAGAGUUGAUGAGAGGAAGAGAAAGCAAGAAUUUGUUUUGAAAAUUAACAAUGCAAUUUUUAUCAGUAUUCUAUUUUCUUUUGUGAUAUCAAAUUUUUUUCUUUAUUUUCCAUUACAUUAAUUAAUUAUUUUCACGUUUUCAAAUUAAAGAUGUAGAGUCUAGCUGCAAUAUGUAUAUUUUUUAUUAUGAAGUCUAGAAAACUAUUUUAUGUAAUUUCAUAUACAUGAAGAAAAAUGUAAUAAACUGGGAAUAUCACAUCAAAAGAGGGAACAGAAUCCAGAAGUUCCUAAUCCCAGAGCCCUGAUUUUGUAAUCAUACAUCUAUGGAAUGUAUAUCCAUAUUAGUGAAGUUAUUAUAAAAAGACAAGUGAUUUAUCUAUAUCAGACAGAUUCCUUAGUUUCUUGGAUGGGGCUGAUGAAUUUUCUCACUAUACAUUAUUUCUAAAUUAAAUUUUCAAAUAUUAAAAUCAGUCAAUUUGCUGAACUGAAAUCUAAAACAGAAGUAUUUGAUUUUAUUUUCUAAACAUGUAAAUUAUGA